GACGAACGCUGGCGGCGUGCUUAACACAUGCAAGUUGAACGGUAAUCCAUGGAAGCUUGCUGAAGUGGAUUAUAGUAGCGGACGGGUGAGUAAUGCAUGAGAAGCUGCCAUUGGGAGGGGGACAACAGUUGGAAACGGCUGCUAAUACCCCGUAUGCCGGAAGGUGAAAGGGAUUAAUCCCGCCCGAUGAGGUGCUCAUGUCCUAUCAGCUAGUUGGUGAGGUAACGGCUCACCAAGGCGACGACGGGUAGCCGGCCUGAGAGGGUGAACGGCCACACUGGAACUGAGAUACGGUCCAGACUCCUACGGGAGGCAGCAGUGGGGAAUAUUGGGCAAUGGGGGAAACCCUGACCCAGCGACGCCGCGUGAAGGAAGACGGCCU
rnacentral:rRNA from 1 species